rnacentral:rRNA from 1 species
UCCGUCCAGUCGGAGCACAAGACGUGGGGUUCUACUACCAGACGUACGAGCCACUGUGAGUCAUACACCCCCUCCUAUCCGGCGGCAGAAGGUUCGUACUGUUCAAACCCACUCUUCACAUCGUCCCCCGUCUCCUUCCUCUACCAUUUUUUUACUCCACAGCAAGCUGGUACGGUGGAUACUGUUCAACGAGUUGGGGAGGCGGGAGAGACUCGCGGAGUACAACGUUUAACCAGUUUCGUAAGUCGUAAGACGUAUGAACUUUAAAAUAUUGUUCAUUCGACUUCUACCCCCUAUACACUACGUUCCAAACUACUAGACGACUAACCCCCCAACAGGGGUUGAAGGACACUCCUCGCACUGAACAGUUACCCGUAGAUCGUCGCCAAGAGAGGGGUACGUUACCGUCGCUCAAGUGGCCCGGCGUCUGUGGUAAGGAAGCCGACACCAAGUC